AAAUGAUGUAUGGUGGCAACUGAGUGCCACUAGCACAUGCUGCUCCAAAUAAAAUUCUCUUACUAGUAGCAGACAGGCAGAAUCCUGUUUCAUCACAAUUACAAAUUCGUUUUUCAAA